AGAUUUUUGAUCGUGUCUCAGGGAUGAGCGCUAGGGGCGUGCUUAACACAUGCAAAGUUGAACGAUGAAGCCCAGCUUCUGGGUGGAUUAGUGGCGAACGGGUGAGUAACACGUGAGUAACCUGCCCUUAACUCUGGGAUAAGCCUGGGAAACUGGGUUUAAUACCGGAUAGGAGCGUCCACCGCAUGGUGGGUGUUGGAAAGAUUUAUCGGUUUUGGAUGGACUCGCGGCCUAUCAGCUUGUUGGUGAGGUAAUGGCUCACCAAGGCGACGACGGGUAGGCGGCCUGAGAGGGUGACCGGCCACACUGGGACUGAGACACGGCCCAGACUCCUACGGGAGGCAGCAGUGGGGAAUAUUGCACAAUGGGCGCAAGCCUGAUGCAGCGACGCCGCGUGAGGGAUGGCGGCCUUCGGGUUGUAAACCUCUUUCAGUAGGAAGAAGCGAAAGUGACGGUACCGCAGAAGAUGCUCGCACUCUA
rnacentral:rRNA from 1 species